UACGUAGGGUGCAAGCGUUAAUCGGAAUUACUGGGCGUAAAGCGUGCGCAGGCGGUUUGGUAAGACAGAUGUGAAAUCCCCCGGGCUCAACCUGGGAAUUGCAUUUGUGACUGCCCGACUAGAGUGUGUCAGAGGGGGGGUAGAAUUCCACGUGUAGCAGUGAAAUGCGUAGAGAUGUGGAGGAAUACCGAUGGCGAAGGCAGCCCCCCUGGGAUAACACUGACGCUCAUGCACGAAAGCGUGGGGAGCAAACAGG
rnacentral:rRNA from 1 species